rnacentral:rRNA from 1 species
GCAUAACGCGAAGAACCUUACCCUAGGCUUGACAUGCACUGUGUCUACGGUGAAAGCCGUAUAGUGUAGCAAUACACGCUUUGCACAGGUGCUGCAUGGCUGUCGUCAGCUCGUGUCGUGAGAUGUUGGGUUAAGUCCCCGCAACGAGCGCAACCCUUGUGAACAGUUGCCAGCACUUAAGGUGGGAACUCUGUUCAGACUGGCCCAGAUCAAACUGGGAGGAAGGUGGGACGACGUCAGGUCAGUAUGGCCCUUACGCCUAGGGCUGCACACGUACUACAAUGCCCAGCACAAUGAGAAACCGAGACCGCGAGGUAGGAGGAAAUCUAAAAAACUGGGCCCAGUUCGGAUUGGAGGCUGCAACUCGCCUCCAUGAAGUUGGAAUCGCUAGUAAUGGCGCAUCAGCUACGGCGCCG